rnacentral:rRNA from 1 species
AUACAGAGGGUGCGAGCGUUAAUCGGAAUUACUGGGCGUAAAGCGCGCGUAGGCGGCUUGGUCAGUCGGAUGUGAAAGCCCCGGGCUCAACCUGGGAAUGGCAUUCGAUACUGCCAGGCUAGAGUAUGGGAGAGGGAAGUGGAAUUUCCGGUGUAGCGGUGAAAUGCGUAGAUAUCGGAAGGAACACCAGUGGCGAAGGCGACUUCCUGGCCCAAUACUGACGCUGAGGUGCGAAAGCGUGGGGAGCGAACAGGAUUAGAUACCCUUGUAGUCC